rnacentral:rRNA from 1 species
AAGUCGGAGUCGCUAGUAAUCGCAGAUCAGCAACGCUGCGGUGAAUACGUUCCCGGGCCUUGUACACACCGCCCGUCAAGUCACGAAAGUUGGUAACACCCGAAGCCGGUGGCCUAACCCUUGUGGGGGGAGCCGUCGAAGGUGGGACCGGCGAUUGGGACUAAGUCGUAACAAGGUAGCCGUACCGGAAGGUGCGGCUGGAUCACCUCCUUUCUAAGGAG